AAUAGAAAAAGUCAAAUAAAUUAUGAAAUGCUCAGAUUUUCGUGUCAUGCUUUGCGAAGUCAUUAUAACUUCCAUCUUGAAAGGUAGAUACGAAUUUUCACCUAUCCAAGUGGAAUGAACAGAUCAGAUACAGAUACGAAAUUUGCUUAAGCACAUUUUUGGUUAGCCAAAUCAUGGUACGAUCUACGACUACGAUCGUAUCAACCAUACUGGCCU
rnacentral:lncRNA from 1 species